rnacentral:sRNA from 1 species
UUAUAGCCCCGAUAGGAGCGGUAUCUUUUUUAAAUUUGUUCCUUUCAUUUAAAGGAACAAAUUUAAAAAAAUAUAGCGGAUAGCGGGACGUUUU